UGAGAAUGGACGAUGAUGACGUGGAUCGUCACGUGGACGUGGUCAUCAACAUGGCAGGUAGCAUGUGGAGGUGUGUGCUCUCCUGCUGCUGCUGUUGGGUAAAAGAUGACCGAGUGGUAAGUCAUGGUGCUGGCAGCCUUACAAGUUGACAUGUGCCCGAAGACCACUGCAUAUUGUGCUCCACACUCCAGUCUUGCUUCAGUUGGAGUUGGAUUCAUGUGUGUACAGGUCAUGCAGUGCUGCAGUCCCAGUAUCCUUGACACAUGAAUCAUCCAGGCCAUGUCCUGCUGGCCUAGGUCAGGUCUGGUCAGGUCACUCCAGGGUUGAGGUGGCAACAGUGUGGAUGGGUAGAGCAAACACCCCAAGUACCAAGUUAGUCUGGAUCCACUUUAGUAGUGAUGUGCCUUGCUUCGUUUUGCAACCAUUGCUCAGUGCAUAAACAAUACUAGAGUUUUAGUUGUGGAUAACUGUUAAAUGAUUGGGUUAAGCCCCACAUCAUGACAGGUUUCCUAGAUAUUAUAUAACCUGGAGGAGUCUGCUUACUAACUGAUAAAUGCAUCUUUGGAUCACAUUUUAUCAUUAGUUAUGAAUUGUGAUCUUGGUGUCUGGAGAGCUAGAAUAAUGAGAACAUGUUUGUAAUGUUGUUAACCUUUGUAUUUCUAAAGUGAAUGUGUUGCAAGAAAACUAUCAUGUUUUCAGAUUGGGCUUGUUAUAUGUUUUCCUGAAAUCAUAUUGGUAGUGUCAGGAUGGUACCAUGAGAAAUCAGUGAUGGCUGUGUUCCCAGUAUAUUGUAAAUGCUACAAAGCUAAUGCUGGCAAAUGUGAAUAGCUAGAAAUGUCUUCCUUGGAAACCAAAAUUCAACCAUGUAAGAGCUCAUUAUUCUUUGUUCAUUUAAUGAGUCACUUUAUCUUGAAUUCAAUGGUCAGUAUAUAGAUAUACCUAAUUUCCUGCAGUUCUGUGUAAUUUAUAGUUUUGAUUCAGGUUUUUCCCUCUACACCAAACUCCUCAUUUUGUUAAGAGGGCUGUUGGUUUUUCAUAAAUAGGCUUAGUUUUUUCCUUUGUAGUGAUUAAUAUACUUUUCAUAGUUAGAUUUGCAGUCAUUUUGUCAUUCUUUUUGUAGAGGAUGCAUACAAAAUUAUCACUUUGGUAAUUUCUGUAACUUUGAGUCAGUUUCUCUGGAUGUUUGAGAUCAUCAUUUAAUGAAGAAUAAGGAAAUUUUGUGAAUUAGACUAGAUGGUGUGGCUGUCUGUAACUUUUAGUUAGUUUCUCUGGAUAUUUGAAGUCAUCAUUUAAUGAAGAAUAAGAAAAUUUUGUGAAUUAGACUAGAUGAUGUGGUUGUAUGUGUUAUUUGCAUUCUUUUAAGGUUCUGUGUGUCCAUUGUUAUUAGUGGCAAGACAGUUAAGGAUAACCAACUUUCACUUGGGCAGUGAACUGUAUAGGUAGUGCUUGCUCUGGGUGUGAUCACUGACUGGUUACAGUUUAGGCUGAAUUUUCACCUUUUCUAACUAUAAAGCAUCACAGUAAUCUGCUCCUGCAACCUUUUAGGAUGUAAAUUAUAUUAAAAUAAUAUUUAAGGUGCUUUAUUAGGUCACAUAAUUAACAAAUUAAACCACAAAAUUGGUAUUUUCAGUUAAAA